CAAACUGUCAAGGAAAACACUUCAUAAUAAUGGAAUUCAGCAGAGACUUUUAUCCAAAGCAAUUCAUGCCUGCAUACAUUUUAGGUACGGGUGGUUCUGGGAAUCGAACACACUAUCCUAGCGUUGCCAGCCCCACGCUCUAUCAACUGAGCCAGACGAACACUUCUAACAACACUGACAGUAGUGCAAUGGGGGUGGCAGGUAGUCUUGUGGAUAAGACUGUUGGGCCAAUGGGGGUGGCAGGUUGCCUUGUGGAUAAGGCUGUUGGGCCAAUGGGGGUGGCAGGUAGCUUUGUGUAUAAGGCUGUUGGGCCAAUGGGGGAUUGAGGUAGCCUUGUGGAUAAGGCUGUUGGGCCAAUGAGGGUGGCAGGUAGUCUUGUGGAUAAGGCUGUUGGGCCAAUGGGGGUGGCAGGUAGUCUUGUGGAUAAGACUGUUGGGCCAAUGGGGGUGGCAGGUAGUCUUGUGGAUAAGGCUGUUGGGCCAAUGGGGGUGGCAGGUAGUCUUGUGGAUAAGGCUGUUGGGCCAAUGGGGGUGGCAGGUAGUCUUGUGGAUAAGGCUGUUGGGCCAAUGGGGGUGGCAGGUAGUCUUGUGGAUAAGGCUGUUGGGCCAAUGGGGGUGGCAGGUAGUCUUGUGGAGAAGGCUGUUGGGCCAAUGGGGGUGGCAGGUAGUCUUGUGGAUAAGGCUGUUGGGCCAAUGGGGGUGGCAGGUAGUCUUGUGGAUAAGGCUGUUGGGCCAAUGGGGGUGGCAGGUAGUCUUGUGGAUAAGGCUGUUGGGCCAAUGGGGGUGGCAGGUAGUCUUGUGGAGAAGGCUGUUGGGCCAAUGGGGGUGGCAGGUAGUCUUGUGGAGAAGGCUGUUGGGCCAAUGAGGGUGGCAGGUAGU